rnacentral:rRNA from 1 species
GACGAACGCUGGCGGCGUGCUUAACACAUGCAAGUCGAACGGAAAGGCCCCCACCUUGGUGGGGGUGCUCGAGUGGCGAACGGGUGAGUAACACGUGGGUGAUCUGCCCUGUACUUCGGGAUAAGCUUGGGAAACUGGGUCUAAUACCGGAUAGGACCAUGGUUUAGUGUCUCAUGGUGGAAAAAUUAUUGUUUUGGUGCAGGAUGAGCUCGCGGCCUAUCAGCUUGUUGGUGGGGUAAUGGCCUACCAAGGCGUCGACGGGUAGCCGGCCUGAGAGGGUGGACGGCCACAUUGGGACUGAGAUACGGCCCAGACUCCAACGGGAGGCAGCAGUGGGGAAUAUUGCACAAUGGGCGCAAGCCUGAUGCAGCGACGCCGCGUGGGGGAUGACGGCCUUCGGGUUGUAAACUCCUUUCGUUAGGGACGAAGCCACACCUUUUUUGGGUGUGGUGACGGUACCUUUGUUAAGAAGCACCGGCUAACUACGUG